rnacentral:rRNA from 1 species
UACGUAGGGGGCAAGCGUUUGUCCGGAAUUAUUGGGCGUAAAGAGCGUGUAGGCGGCCCAGAUAAGUCCGCUGUGAAAUCUCGAGGCUCAACUUCGAGCUGUCGGUGGAAACUAUCUGGCUAGAGUCCGGAAGAGGAGAAUGGAAUUCCUGGUGUAGCGGUGAAAUGCGCAGAUAUCAGGAAGAACACCCGUGGCGAAGGCGGUUCUCUGGGACGGUACUGACGCUGGAGACGCGAAAGCGUGGGGAGCGAACAGG